CCAGGGACCGAACCCACAACCUCAUGGUUCCCAGUCAGAUUCAUUAACCACUGAGCUAUGACGGGAACUCCUGUGAACUUCCCCCCUUUUAAGAUCCUUCUACUGCAGUCCUGCCGCAAUUUUUAUUGUCUUCCUGCUAAGCCUUCUGCACAGCUGAUAUCUUGGGGCUUUCAUCACCUAAGUGGACUGAAUCAGAAUGAAAAGAAGUGAAACUAUUUUCAGACAUAUUCCUGUAUAUAGAAAACCUUAAGAAAUCUCAAAAUUAUCUACUAGAACUAAGCACAAGUUCAGUAAGUCACAAUAAUACUACAAGAUUAACACACCAAAACCAAGUGUAUUUCUCUACACUAGCAAUGAAAAGCCCAAAAAUGAAAUUAAAGUCAAUUCUAAAAUAGCAAAAAAAUAAAAUACCUAGCAACUGAAUAAAAGAAGUGUAAGAUAUACAUCAAAAACUGUAAAACAUUACUGAGAAAAAUUUUUAAAGAUUUAAAUUAAUGGACAAAUAGUCCAUGGUCAUGGACUGUAAGUCUCAAUAGUAUUAAUUUGUUAAUUUCCCAAAAUUAGUUGAUACGUUCAGUGCAAUCAAUAUUAAAAUUUCAACACAUGGAAUUCUCCCUGUGGCACAGUGGGUUAAGAAACCAACUGCAGCAGCUCGGGUCACUGCAGAAGCCCAGGUUUGAUCCCUGGCCCAGCGUAGUGGGUUAAAGGAACCAGCAUUGCCGCAGUCAUGGCAUAGGUGGAAACUGCAGCUUAGAUUCAACCCCUGGCCUGGGAACUACUAUAUGUCUCAGCUGCGGCCAUAAAUAUUUUUUAACUAAAAAUGUCAGCAAGCUUUUUUGCAAAAAUUGACAACCGAGCCUAAAGUUUAUAUGGAAAUGAAACCAACCUGAUUUCUUAAAUAAGCAAAUUGAGUGGUUACCAGUAUAGGAAAGACAUUAGGUCAGUGGACCAAAAUUGAGUCCAGAAAUAAACCCUUAUAUUUAUGGGGAAUGGUUUGUCAACAAAGCUAUCAAUGUGUUUUAGUGGGGAAAAGAUACACUUCAACAAGUUGUGCUGGGGUAACUGGAUACAUGGAUACAUACAUGCCAAAAUAGGAAUUUUGAACCUUACCUCACUCGGUGGGUUAAGGAUCCUGCAUUGCCAAGAGCUGCAGUGUAGGUUACAGGUGCGGCUCAGAUCUGGUGUAGGCCAGCAGCUGCACCUCCAAUUCGACCCCUGGCCCAGAAACUUCCAUAUGCCCCCUAAAAAAAAAAGAAGGAUACCACUAAAAAAAUGAAAAAGUCAAGACACAGAUGGAGAAAAUACCUGUCUGAUAAAGGACAAUCUAGAAUAUGUAAAAACAAUUGCUCACUAAUAAGAUAAACAACACAAAAAAAGGACAAUUUGAAGACAUUUCUCUAAAGACAUAAUUGGCUGAUAAUGAAAAUAUGCUCAACAUCACUAGUAAUUAGGAGCAAGUCAAAACCACAGGUGAUAAGUGGUGGGGAGGAUAUGGAGAAAUAAGAACCCUCAAACACUGCUAGUGAAAUAAAAAAAGUGAAGUAUAACUUUGGAAAACAGGUUGGCAGUUCCUAAAAAUGUUAAGCAUGAAAUUUAUCAAACAACUUCUACCCUAGGUAUCUACCCUAAAGUAAUGAAAAUAUGUGGAGUUCCCACUGUGACACAGCGGGUAAAAAAAUGUGACUGCAGCAGCUCAGAUGGCUGCAGAGGUCUGGAUUCCAUCUCUGGCCUGGCACAGCGGGGUUAAAGGAUCCUGUGUUGCCACAGCUGCAGCAUAGUUUACAUCUGAGGCUUGGAUUCAGUCUCUGGCCUGGGAACUUCCAUGUGCUGUGGGUGCAGCAAUAUUAAAAAAAAAAAUAAUGAAAUAUGUCCACACAAACACUUGUGUUCAAGCAGCAUGAGACUAUUCAUAGCAACAUUAUUCUUAAUAGCUUAAAAGUGAAAAUAAUUCAAAUAUCCAUCAACCUGUAAACCUGUAAAUCCUUAAAGGAUCUGGUGUGGUCACUGCUAUGGUGUAGAUUCAGUCCCUGGCCUGGGAACUUCCACAAGCUGCGGGACCAGCCAGAAAAACAAACAACUUCAACUGGCGUUCCCAUUGUGGCUCAGCAGGUGAAGGACCAAACCUCUGUGAGGAUGUCGGUUGAUCCUCUGGCCUAGCUCAGUGGGUUAAGUGUCCGGCUUCAUCACAAGCUCUAAAGUAGGUCCCUGACUGGGCUCAGAUCCAGUGUUGCCAUGGCUGUGGCGUGGGCCCCAGCUGCAGCUCUGAUUCAACCCCUAGGGAACUUCCAUAUGCCACAGGUGUGGCUGUAAAAAGAAAAAAAAAAAAAAAAAAAAAAAA
rnacentral:lncRNA from 1 species